rnacentral:rRNA from 1 species
UACGUAGGGUGCGAGCGUUACUCGGAAUUACUGGGCGUAAAGCGUGCGCAGGCGGUAAGUUAAGUCUGAUGUGAAAGCCCCGGGCUCAACCUGGGAAUGGCAUUGGAAACUGGCUUGCUGGAGUGUGGCAGAGGGGGGUGGAAUUCCGCGUGUAGCAGUGAAAUGCGUAGAGAUGCGGAGGAACACCGAUGGCGAAGGCAGCCCCCUGGUCCAACACUGACGCUCAGGCACGAAAGCGUGGGGAGCAAACAGG